GAGCUUGCUCUUAUGAAGUUAGCGGCGGACGGGUGAGUAACACGUGGGUAACCUGCCCAUAAGACUGGGAUAACUCCGGGAAACCGGGGCUAAUACCGGAUAACAUUUUGAACCGCAUGGUUCGAAAUUGAAAGGCGGCUUCGGCUGUCACUUAUGGAUGGACCCGCGUCGCAUUAGCUAGUUGGUGAGGUAACGGCUCACCAAGGCAACGAUGCGUAGCCGACCUGAGAGGGUGAUCGGCCACACUGGGACUGAGACACGGCCCAGACUCCUACGGGAGGCAGCAGUAGGGAAUCUUCCGCAAUGGACGAAAGUCUGACGGAGCAACGCCGCGUGAGUGAUGAAGGCUUUCGGGUCGUAAAACUCUGUUGUUAGGGAAGAACAAGUGCUAGUUGAAUAAGCUGGCACCUUGACGGUACCUAACCAGAAAGCCACGGCUAACUACGUGCCAGCAGCCGCGGUAAUACGUAGGUGGCAAGCGUUAUCCGGAAUUAUUGGGCGUAAAACGCGCACAAGUGGUUUCUUAAGUCUGAUGUGGAAAGCCCCCCGCUCACCGUGGA
rnacentral:rRNA from 1 species